CCAUUGGUGGUUCAGUGGUAGAAUUAUUGCCUUCCAUGCAGGAGACCCGGGUUCAAUUCCUGGCCAGUGCA
rnacentral:tRNA from 1 species